GAAAUGACUCCGGAAGAGAGAAUUCCAGUAAUGCUCCCAACUGACUUCUCAUCAGGAAUAACGGACAGCAGAACCAAGUGGUACAGCACAUUCAAGGAAUACACAAGCAAGCUGUCCCUGCUUGUGCCUUAGCAAACUGUAUGGAAUUCCACAAGAGGCAGAAAGCACUAAGAAAACAACGGCUUACUUGGAGAAACUUGACAUCACUCAGCCUCAUGGGAAACACCAUCUUGCAACAGGAACCAAGUGCAUCAAAGUGGGGCUAGCGUAGAGAAGGGUGAGACAGAACGCAAACGACAAGGAAGCCUCCUGGUUAGCUGGUGAGGCCUCUGAGAAUUCCUCCGUUUGAGCAUGAAAGGACCUCAUUUCUGCUCCAGGGAACAAGAAAUCAUGUACUGCUUUUCUCUUUUAACCAGGAAGUGGGGCAGGAGAUGGUCUACCUGCAAAAAGACAUGCUGAAGAGCAGCCAGGAAGGAACUGCCAGGUUUUCAGGUCAACUGAUGAGACCUUUCCUAUACAAGCUCGAGAAUAAACACCAUCUCUUUAAGCUAUUUAUGAGGAAACAGCUUUGGAGUUUCAAACUAAAGAUGAACAAAUUAAAGAGCUAUCAUGAUAUUUUCUCUAUCAUCACAGAUGUAGCUCACACUGUUAUCCACAGCAGGCCUUUACAUUUAUUAAACAAGCUGCCCCAAAGGUA